GAGCUUACAGUGAGCUGAGAUUGCACCACUGCACUCCAGCCUGGGUGACAGAGCGAGACUCUCUCUCUAAAUAAAUAAGUAAAUAAAUAAAUAAGGAAAGAAAGAAAUCUGUUUAGAUUUUGAUAAGAAUUACAUGUAAUCUACAAAUCACUUUGAGGAGAACUGAUCUUUAUGAUAUUGAGUAUUCCAAUCCAUGAACAUGGUAUAUUUCUCCAGACUCACACAAAUAUUAAUGAAUGCAAAAGAAAACAUAGGAUGGUAGGGUUGUUGAUUCAGAGAACACCCAUGGAAAUGUCAUUCUGGCACUACUUGCCUUCUAAGGGCUGCCUCUGCUCCUUACUUCCUUUUUCUAGGUUGCCCGAUUAUUAUGUGAACUUGUCCUAUGCCCAGUGCUGAUUGAUUCAGGGGAACGCACCUGCCCAGGCCAGUCCAAUAAAUGUCUUUACACAGAUUUUUCAACUGGAGACAGAAAGAGAGUUGAACCAGGCUCUCUGAUUGCAAAAUAUAAAAUUUAGGAGCUCCUGGUAACCAUGCUUCAGAUUAUGUGAACUAGAGGAUUGGGGGAAUUGCUGAGAAAUAAGGUCAAAUCUCAAAGAAACGGAGACAUGACAAGAGAAGAGAGUGGUGUUUGAGUCUCUGGCUCCACAGAGUUCUUACGGUCAAUGAGUUCUGAGAGAUAGUCAGAACUAUCUUGUUUAUGAAUUCCAUGAGACAGCCCAAAAAUCUGUCUUUAGGCUUAAGCUAGUUUGAGUUGGGUUUCUGUCACUUGGAACAAGAGUCCUGACUACUGCAGUUGAGUGGAGUUAAAAGGUAUAGCCUCAAUAGGUGAGCUAGCUCUCGGUUUAAAAGGCUUCCAGUUUGAAUUACACUCCAUUCCCUCUGGUGCCCCUAGAAAGAGCCUUCUCUAACACAGGCCUGGAACUAGCAGACAUGCUUUUGUUUUUUUUUUCUUUGCAGGAAUUGUACUGCCUUGAUUUGGGACAGAUUAUCAGAGGUGGGCACCGUUAUCCUCUCUUUCAUGCAGGAUUAAUCACUUGUCAGCCCAAGGCCAUCCCCUCAGUCACUCUGUUUCCGCCAUCUUCUGAGGAGAUGCAAGCCAACAAGGCCACACUGGUGUGUCUCAUGAGUGACUUCUAUCCAGGAAUCUUGAUGGUGACCUGGAAGGCAGAUGGGACCCCCAUCACCUAGGGCGUGGAGAUGACUGUGCCCUCCAAACAGAGCAACAAAUACGUGGCCAGCAGCUACGUGAGCCUGACGCCCAAGCAGUGGAGAUCCCGCAACAUCUUCAACUGCCAGGUCACGCAUGACGGGAGCACUGUGGAGAAAGACAGUGGCCCCUGCAGAAUGUUCUUAGGUUCCCAACCCUCGCCCCACCCACAGGGGCCUGGAGCUGCAGGAUCCCAGAGGAGGGGUCUCUCUGCAUCCCAAGCCAUCCAGCCCCUCUCCCUGUACCCAGAAAACCCUCAAACGUCUUUUGUCAACCAGAAAUCCUGCUCCCUCUCUUCAUUUCUUAUCUCUCAUACAAUUUGAUGCUUCUCCUGGGUGCUCAGUGUGGCGUUGGGGGAAUCCUGGCACCAGUGGGAAAGUAGCCUGGAGGAGAGGAUCACAGGCUCCCAGGCGUGUCCCCUGGGGACAUAGGCCAGGAUAGGAGGAGUCGGCUCACUGAACACCAGUCCAUCCAUUCUCUCCCACCUCCCCUUCCUCCUUGCAGCUCACCCUCCAACUUGCUGCCUGUGUUUUGGAGGGAGCUCUUUCUGGCUGAGCCUCCAGAUACACCCUCUGUCCCUGUCCUGGUCUGGACCUUCCCCUGACCCACGGCCUCUUUCCUCAGCCUGGAAAUCCUACUCUAGGCCUGGAGUCCCUCUGCUUCUGGCUCUGGCCCCUGGAAUGCCGUCCUUCCUCUCUGUCCAACUCCCCACCCCCAAGGGCUGGACUGUCUAGGACACUGCCACACCAUCAAAUUCAUGAGCUCUUAAAUUUGGGGCCCACUUUGAUUUUUCACCUGACAGCAGGUUCAGAGGUGUGAGAAAAAUAGGAGGAAGUCAGGAAGGAAACACACAUGAAAGGCCUGCAAGAGGCUCAGGACACUUGUAAAAGAUAGGCUCUGAGCUCCCCAGGAACAAGUGCAAGAACGGCAAUAGGUGCUCCAUCAUUUAUUUCUUUCUUUUUUUUUUUCUUAGAUGGAGUCUCUCUCUGUCGCCCAGGCUGGAGUAAAUAGAAAAGAGAGUGGUCAACACUCUAAGAAUUUUCCAUCUCAAGAAGUCAGGAAAAGAACAAAUUAACCUAAAGAGUACAGAAGAAAAUACUAAAUGUAAUAGUAAUUGAUGAAAUAAAAAAUGAAUAAAUAAUAGAGACCACCAAAAAGGCCAAAAAUUUGGUACUUUUAAAAGACUAGUAAAAUUGAUAAAUCCCUGAUGAGACUAAUCAAAAGAAAAAAGGGGAAAAGGCACCAAGAAAGCAAUGUAAGGAAUAAGAAAAGGAACACCUCUGUAGACAUUAAAAUGGUAAAAUGAUAUUGUGAACAAUUUGAUGUUAAGACAUUUCAAAGUUAGAUUACAUGGAUAAAUGCUGGGAAAACUAUAAUCUACCAAAAUGGGCAAAAUAAAUAAAAUUAUUUAAAAAUUC